GCCCCGAGGUGGAGGUAGUCGCGUUUCGCUUCUCAUCUUGUCGUGUGAACGACGCUGCAUCGCGGCGGCUGGUAGAAGUGUCGCUGGUGACGGAGGCGAAGACGACGGUGAGGGUGACCGUGCUGCCCGAAGACGAACCAGCCUGCGAGGCGGAGACGCUUCAAGGGGUUGUCUGGCCGCUAACUCGUGUUCAUGAUAACUCAGUACAAGGUUGCCCGUUGGGCUACGUAGGUCAAACUCGUCGCAACUGUUCACAAUCGCAGGAUAACGCCCCUCUAGAUGACGUUCCUAUAGAUGGCGCCCCACUAGAUGAUA